UACGAAGGGUGCAAGCGUUACUCGGAAUUACUGGGCGUAAAGCGUGCGUAGGUGGUUUGUUAAGUCUGAUGUGAAAGCCCUGGGCUCAACCUGGGAAUUGCAUUGGAUACUGGCAGGCUAGAGUGCGGUAGAGGAUGGCGGAAUUCCCGGUGUAGCAGUGAAAUGCGUAGAGAUCGGGAGGAACAUCUGUGGCGAAGGCGGCCAUCUGGACCAGCACGUGACACUGAGGCACGAAAGCGAUGGGGAGCAAACAGGGAUUAGAUGA
rnacentral:rRNA from 1 species